rnacentral:rRNA from 1 species
UACGUAGGGUGCGAGCGUUGUCCGGAAUCAUUGGGCGUAAAGGGCGCGUAGGUGGCUUCUUAAGCGUGCGGUGAAAGCCUGGGGCUCAACCCCGGGUCGGCCGUGCGAACUGGGGGGCUGAGCACUGUAGAGGCAGGCGGAAUUCCGGGUGUAGCGGUGGAAUGCGUAGAGAUCCGGAAGAACACCGGUGGCGAAGGCGACUGUCUGGACAGAUACUGACGCUGAGGCGCGAAAGCGUGGGGAGCAACAGG